rnacentral:rRNA from 1 species
GAUGAACGCUGGCGGCGUGCCUAAUACAUGCAAGUCGAGCGAACAGAGGAGGUACUUGCUCCUCUGCCGUCAGCGGCGGAAGGCUGAGUAAACCGUGGAUAACCAACCUAUCAGACUGGGAUAACUCCGGCAAAUCGGCGCUAAUACCCGAUAAUAUAUUGCACCGCAUAGUUCAAUAGAGAACGAUGCUGUUUCUGUCACUUACCCAUGGAUCCGCGCCGCAUUAGCUAGUUGGUAAGGUAACGGCUUACCAAGGCAACGAUGCGUAGCCGACCUGAGAGGGUGAUCGGCCACACUGGAACUGAGACACGGUCCAGACUCCUACGGGAGGCAGCAGUAGGGAAUCUUCCGCAAUGGGCGAAAGCCUGACGGAGCAACGCCGCGUGAGUGAUGAAGGUCUUCGGAUCGUAGAACUCUGUUAUUAGGGAAGAACAAAUGUGUAAGUAACUAUGCACGUCUUGACGGUACCUAAUCAGAAAGCCACGGCUAACUACGUG